rnacentral:tRNA from 2 species
AUUGAGGUGCCAGAUUAUGGGCUAAGUUUAAGCCUUAGUUAUGGGUGUUUACACCCCUUCAAUU